UCCUACGGGGGGCAGCAGUGGGGGAUAUUGGACAAUGGGGGGAACCCUGAUCCAGCGACGCCGCGUGAGUGAAGAAGUAUUUCGGUAUGUAAAGCUCUAUCAGCAGGGAAGAAAAUGACGGUACCUGAGUAAGAAGCCCCGGCUAACUACGUGCCAGCAGCCGCGGUAAUACGUAGGGGGCAAGCGUUAUCCGGAUUUACUGGGUGUAAAGGGAGCGUAGACGGCGAUGCAAGUCUGAAGUGAAAGCCCGGGGCUCAACCCCGGGACUGCUUUGGAAACUGUAUGGCUGGAGUGCUGGAGAGGCG
rnacentral:rRNA from 1 species